AAACCAGCACCUCAAGUGGUCAGGAUGAUUAUUGGGCCUAAAGCAUCCGUAGCCGGCUCUGUAAGUUUUCGGUUAAAUCUGUACGCUCAACGUACAGGCUGCCGGUAAUACUGCAGAGCUAGGGAGUGGGAGAGGUAGACGGUACUCGGGAGGAAGUGGUAAAAUGCUUUGAUCUCUCGAUGACCACCUGUGGCGAAGGCGGUCUACCAGAACACGUCCGACGGUGAGGGAUGAAAGCUGGGGGAGCAAACCGGAUUAGAUACCCGAGUAGUCC
rnacentral:rRNA from 1 species